rnacentral:tRNA from 1 species
UCCCGCUUAGCUCAGUUGGUAGAGCGCGUCACUAGUAUAGCAUUCCAAGCGUUGGUCAAUGACGAGGUCAGUCGUUCGAGUCGGCUAGUGGGAA